rnacentral:rRNA from 1 species
CCUACGGGGGGCAGCAGUGAGGAAUAUUGGUCAAUGGGCUUACGCCUGAACCAGCCAAGUCGCGUGAGGGAAGACUGCCCUAUGGGUUGUAAACCUCUUUUGUCAGGGAGCAAUUGGCGCUACGUGUAGCGUUAUCGAGAGUACCUGAAGAAAAAGCAUCGGCUAACUCCGUGCCAGCAGCCGCGGUAAUACGGAGGAUGCGAGCGUUAUCCGGAUUUAUUGGGUUUAAAGGGUGCGUAGGCGGAAUGCCAAGUCAGCGGUAAAAUCGCGGGGCUCAACCUCGCUCCGCCGUUGAAACUGGCGGUCUUGAGUGGGCGAGAAGUAGGCGGAAUGCGUGGUGUAGCGGUGAAAUGCAUAGAUAUCACGCAGAACUCCGAUUGCGAAGGCAGCAUACCGGCGCCCAACUGACGCUGAAGCACGAAAGCGUGGGUAUCGAACAGGAUUAGAUACCCGGGUAGUC